ACGAACGCUGGCGGCGUGCUUAAAACAUGCAAGUCGAACGGUGAAGGAAGCUUGCUUCCGGAUCAGUGGCGUACGGGUGAGUAACACGUGAGCAACCUGCCGAAUUGUGGGGGAUACCUCCUCGAAAGGGGAGUUAAUACCGCAUAGGACGUUUUUCGGACCUCCGAGAGACGGGAAAGCCGCAAGGCGCAGUUUGAGGGGCUCGCGGCCUAUCAGCUAGUUGGUGUGGUAACGGCGCACCAAGGCGACGACGGGUAGCCGGCCUGAGAGGGUGAUCGGCCACACUGGGACUGAGACACGGCCCAGACUCCUACGGGGGGCAGCAGUUGGGAAUCUUGCGCAAUGGGGGCAACCCUGACGCAGCGACGCCGCGUGCGGGAUGACGGUCUUCGGAUUGUAAACCGCUUUUCCCAGGGACGACGAUGACGGUACCUGGGGAAGAAGCCCCGGCUAACUCCGU
rnacentral:rRNA from 1 species